rnacentral:rRNA from 1 species
UACGAAGGGGGCUAGCGUUGUUCGGAAUUACUGGGCGUAAAGCGCACGUAGGCGGAUACUUAAGUUAGGGGUGAAAUCCCGGGGCUCAACCCCGGAACUGCCUUUGAUACUGGGUAUCUGGAGUCCGAGAGAGGUGAGUGGAAUUCCGAGUGUAGAGGUGAAAUUCGUAGAUAUUCGGAGGAACACCAGUGGCGAAGGCGGCCCACUGGCUCGGUACUGACGCUGAGGUGCGAAAGCGUGGGGAGCAAACAGG